AUGGCCUCAAAUUGGGUCCAGGAACCACCAUAUCCACAACUUGAAAGCCACCAAAGUGUGCAGCCUAACCCUCCAUUUUCUUGCCACCAUCUCUCCAGAGGCAUGCAAGGCAAUUUUACAGCUACCAACAUGUCUCAUCACAUGAUGCAUGGCUGGCCACACACCCUUUCAACAUUUUUGCAGCAUCCCGCAUUGGCUGCCACAAAUUUCAUCAAAUUUCUACAUUACAGGCAGCGCCUGAGAUAUAGACACCAGAAGUGGAGUGACUUCACCCUGCUUGCGGAUAGGAAGAGGGGACUCACAUCACACGACUGCCGGGAUAUUGCAGUGGAACAAAGCAAUCACACCAGAAACAAUAGUCAAACAACUGGAAUAUUGGAACUAUUAACAGAUUUUUCAUCAAGGAAAAGAUGCAAUCAAAUAAGGAAGGAAAUGAAAUGCAACAGGAAGAGAUACACAAUAAUGUGUGAUAUAUCCAGCCAAAAUCUCCACUAUCCUGUUGUAAUUGUGAUUUGCCAGCCUUGUGUGAUAAAGCCCCUGGUUACAUGUUCCAGAAAUAUUCUCAGGAGAGAAUACUUCUGGAACAUGGCCAUACAGUCCGGAAAACACACAAUAACCCUGUUAUUUCGGCAAUGA
rnacentral:lncRNA from 1 species